UUUCCGUAGGUGAACCUGCGGAAGGAUCAUUACUGAGUUAGGGACGUCUCUGGCCCGACCUCCAACCCUGUGUCUACCUUACCACGUUGCUUCGGCGGGCCUGCCGACAGGAUCUGUCGGCUGCCAGUGGGCUCGACCCCCGCUGGACAGUGCCCGUCGAUGGCAACCCUCCAAAACUCUUGAAGAACCAUGUCGUCUGAGAACCAAACUAAUUAAAAAUAAAAACUUUCAACAAAGGAUCUAUUAGUUCUGGCAUCGAUCAAGAACGCAUCAAAAAGG
rnacentral:misc_RNA from 1 species